GUUUGAAUUGGCGCAUUGCCAAAAACAAUCCACCCGAGUUGAGUAUUCUGUGCAAUUGGUGCUACAGGCUCAUUUCCCCUUACUAUUUCUGGCAAAACGACCUCGGAGAAGACACCACUACCUAGGAGCAAGUCAACACUAGAAGGUUUAUAGAAAGAAGGAUCAGCCAAACACAAACCCUGAAUGUGACCCCAUUGAUCAGGCAGAAUUUCUCUAUUGGGAAGUAAACCAGUUAUAGUUUUGAGAACAAACGCCCUAGCAUCAGUUUGAAAAGAGAGAAUUCCAUGAAGGUACGACAUUUUUUUAGACAAAGUUGUUGUACCGCUCGUUCAGUGAUGAAUGUUGAUUCUGAACCAGGAUCUAGCAGCGCUCUCAAACUGAUGAAUUCUCCGUUGGCUGAUUGUAUUUGGAUGACUGCUGUAGCAAGUAACACCAUAGUACUCAAGGGAUUUGCGACGUGAUAAUUUUGAUAAAUUUGCGAAGUGGCAGCUUGGCUAGUACUCGGAUUGAAUGGUUUCGCGUUUGGAUUAAUCUGCGCAUUCGAUGUAGCUGAAUUAAAACUGGAACAAUUCGCUUGAUUGGAUUGUGAAUUUUGAGAAUUUUGGCUGAAAUUAGAAUUUUGAGCAAUAAGAGAACUGUGCAAAAGCG